AUUCAGGGGGUACAUGUGCAGGUUUGUUACAAGAGUAUAUUGUGUGAUGCUGAAGUUUGGAGUACAGUUGAACCCAUCACCCAGCUAGUGAGCAUGAUACUGAAGCCAUGGAGAAGAGGAGACAGAGUGUGCAAGGGAAUGAAGAAAAGGAACAAGACUAUUUUCAAAUCACCCAUGGCACUAUUAGAAAAGUAUUUCAGCAAAAGGACUGGCUGAUUUUAUGAUUCCUGUGUCCACCACAGCCCUCUAAGUUUUACAUAGGUACCCCACAUCUCUCUAGAUUUCAGGAAGACUAUUAUCCUUCGACUUUAGCUUUCUGAUGGGUUCACAAAAAACCAUUAGUGUGCUAUUGGUCCAGCUUUUUUCUGUUGCAAAUAUGAGAGCUACAGUUCUGAGAUGAAACCACAGAUAUUAAAAGGAAUCCAAUUGAACAAAGAAAGAACAUGCUGUAAGAAAUAGUUCAAUAGCGGAAGAUCCUUUAAUAGUAUGUGAAAGGAGAAAUAUUCUCAUAUUGAUGAAAAGAAGAAAAGAAAAGGAAAACCUGUGAGGAUUUUAGAGCACCCUGACCAUCUGACCCAGGCAGACACUUCUAAGAGCUGCAUGGAACUGUAUUUAAGAUCGACAGGAAUAAAACUGUCCAUCUUAUCUUACUUUUCUUUUACAUACCCUUGGACUUCUCUCUAUUAUUCAUUGGCAACUCCAGCUCUUGAACUCUGAAAAUUCCACCGAUGCCAUUUGAGCAUUGAGAAAAGAUACUUUUCAUUUUAAGUUACAUCUUCCUACUGUUUGUAGAUGUUAUGUGUAUUCCAUUGCUAAGGAAUCAUUGUCUCUGCCUGAGGAAAAAGACAGUUUAAAAAUAACUUGUGUUGUGAUUAGAAAAGUCUUUGUAUCAAGAUACCUGAAAGAGAGAGAAUGCACAGGCACCUGUAUAACACAUGAUGGGUGAUAGUUUUCAACUGUGCUUGGCGGGGAAACAUUUUGUUUUGUAUAGAAAUAAAGUGUAGA